GGCAGAAGGGUGUUUGAGGGCCUUUAAUAAAUAAACCAAUAAAUAAGCACAGAGGUGCCGCCGCCUCAACCCAGAGAGGCUGCCUCCGGCUGAGGGAGCCGCCGUCCCCUCAUGGUGGGGGCGGACAGCACCUGAGGAUCUGUGUGAAGUUGGGGGAGAAGGAGUGAAAGCCUCGGAGAGCAGGAGGGCAUUUAAAAAUAACUAACUAAAUAAAUAAAUAAGCGCAGAGGUGCCGUCGCCUCAACCCAGCGAGGCUGCCCCCGGCUGAGGGAACCGCCGUCCCCUCAGCCCGCCCACACGACCCGGGGUGCCGUGAAUUCCUGUCACGACCGACGGCAGAGCCUCCUGGGGCUGCCGGGAUGCGGGCACUCGUACCGGUGAGGGGACUGAGGGAGAAAAGUUUUUUCGUGCGUCUAUUUUUUACUUUUUUUUUUUUUUGUUCAACUCGGAGGUGGCAGGAUACGAAGGGGAGGCGGCUGCGAAGCGGUGAGCCGAGCGGCAGGACGAGCCGGGCCCGGGCGAGCCGCGCCGCCUCCCCCUGGUUACAAACGCCCGCGAGUGGGCGGCCGCCUUUGUUUCCAGGCACGGGCUUCGAGAGAAACACCAUGGUAUUUCCAAACCUGAGGGAGAAAUAAAAGGCCAGGGAUGAAAAAAUAAUGUUUUCCCAGCACUGUUUGAUGCUAGGAGCUGGAAAACAUUAGACGGUACUACCAAAAAUCCAUAAUUUUAAGGACAGAAAACUGCCUCAUUGACACCGAGUAUUUAUUUAAGCCCCACACGAACUCUCAGUGAGCCUUGCCAUUUAGAUAAAGCUAGAAAAGGAAGUCUCAAACUGUUCUAAAUUGCCAAAUAAUUUUGAUGAAAUCAGCAUGACCAAGGGAGCAAAAUGGUACGCUCCAUAGUUCAGAAUGCUUUCCCCUUGCUGAUUUUUUAACUCAGAAGUCAAUCGUCGAACAAACAGGUAUAAGAUGCCUUGCUGCUGCCAUCCUUGGUUAAAUUCGAUCAACCUGUUUCACAAAGCUGACCGUUACAGUCCCCUGCCGCCAAGCCUGCUGAAGGGUUGCCUAUUGUGAAUGUGUCAUUGCAUCAACAGCCAGCUGGCAUGUCAGCAUUUCCAUUGCAAACCUAUUUUUAAAGAGUAUCUCAUCUCACCCGUGUCCAUGACUGUAUGGAUAUCAGAUCUCCUUCGAUGAGCAAUUUUCAGAACUGGGUGAAUGCUCCAGACCAGCCAACUUACACAUCUCAGAAGUUGUAUACUGUCAAACCAAAAGCUAUUUACAGUGAAAUUAAAGACCCAGUGUCCUGUCUCUGGCCAAGAAUGUGGAUGCCAGACAGAAAAUACAAACAGGGCAAGCAGUACCUAAUGAUACUUUUCCAGAAUUUGUUUUCAGCCUCCAGCCAUUCAGGUUUCCUGAGCCCAGGGUGCUGUCUUGUACUGAAUAGUCUUGAUAGAUAUUUCUUCCAUGAAUCUGCCCAAACCCUCCUGAAUCUCUACAUUUUUAGCAGAGAUAAUAUCUCACAAGUUCCACAACUAUACCUUAGUUCAAAAGCUCACUUUUAGCCUACCCCUUAGUUUUAUCCAAUGUUCCCCAGCUGCAUGAUUAAGCACCCUUUCCACAUCGGUUGUGACUGUAUGUGUGGUGUAUUUCCCACCUGCACCAUCCUGUCAUCCUCUUUGUUUCCCAGGCUGAGAUUCCUGGGCUGUUUAGUCAGUCGUGAACAAAGGGAAAUUACAGUUUCUCUUUACACAUUUUCACUAGCAAUAUGGAAGUAAAUACUAAAUAGUUACCAAUAGUGUGCAUGAAUUACAAAGGGAAAGGUCAGUAAUUAGCUAUCAAAGUCCUUUUGGGGAAUGACAGGUGACUCAAAGCAAAUUACAGGCUUACCACGAGGACUGGAUAGACAAGCAGCGAUCUGGUAAGGAGGGAGUUUGUUUUGCAUCCACAAGGGCCAUUGCAGAGAAGGGAGACCGAGGCUUUGUGUACAGUUUUGGAAUCUGAGCUUGGAAAAGCACAGCAGCAAACCACAGAAGUACUCCAGCCUCCACCUAAAGAUUGCAGUGGAAAACCCAAAGGUCCAGCUUUAUCAAACCUGAUUGUAAGUGCUCAUCAAACAAGAACUUCUUUGGUAGUCCAGUUCUCUUUCCAAAAGCUACAGAAGAAAACCAAAGCAACUGUAUUUCUCAUAUAAACACCUCUGCAGAGCUGAGCCAAACACAGGCCAAAAAAGUAAUUAUAUACUGCAAUCAGUUACAGCAGUCUGAACACACCAAGAAAUAGCAAAUUUACCAUAAGCAACUGAUCCUUCUUCUUCUUUUUUUUUUUUUAACUGAAUCUCACAUACUUUUGCAUUUUCCAAAAUUUACUUCAUUAUUUUUCUUCAGACCUGUUUAAUCCUUGAAACUGAAAUGAAAUCAGAGAAAUCUGGCUUGAAUUUGCUGUGAAUUUUGCCUCAGAGCACAGAACAAACCAUCAUGAUGUUCCAACAUGCAAAUGUAUCAACAAUGAUGAAUACUUAAGGAAUUGAUUGCAUCUAAAAUCAUCGUGAUCUCAGUCUCCAGGGAAGUUUUUGUGACAGCAGGGGUGUUACUUUUGAAAUGAUACAGAGCCAAAGCUGUUGCCAGUCCCUAACUUUAGCUAGGAGCCCACAUAUCAUGCCUCAAACUAGUAUCCUAAUCAUCUCAGGUGAAAAAUCUUCCAGUUUUGGAAGAUUAUAAUUAACUUCCUACUGAGCCAUGCUUAGAAGAAUGUCUCAACCUGGAAGAUUAAAUAGGGACUUAGUAUCUGUCAGCAAUCAUUCAGCGGUAGCUGUUUGUGUCUUGCAGCAUAAAGAUACUGAUUUAAUGUAUUAUAUUUAGAAAAUGUUUUCUCCUUAUUGUGGAACAAAAGGACUUGACUGCAUGAGUAAUAGAUGUAUUACUGGGAAUACAGAGUAGGUUGCUGAAUACCACUUCUGCCAUAUUAGUUUAUGCCUUCAGAUAAUUGCUGUAACAGCAGUACUUUCAGAAUCCCCACUCCUGGAGGAAGAGAAAUCACCAUGCCUUCCCAACCCACUGAUAUUCUCUGAGUUUCUGUGGGUCACCAUGACUCGGAUUGAUAGCUAUUUUUUCUCUGCUGUUAUCAAGGUUAUUUCCAAGCCAUCUUGACUUUGCUUCUGUUCCAAUUAGGGCAUGACUUGACUCAUCAGUUCUUUAUUUGGAACACACAUCACAUUUCUUCACUUCAUCAGUUUUCCUCCUAGUGAGGUCACUUGUUUGUGGCUAUUCAAUACUUCAUUCAGGUGCCGAUUUCUCAAUUUAAUUCAUUUUCAUACAAUCCUGUGCAGUCUUUCUUACAGCCACAGUUCAGCCAAGUACCUAUUAUGCAGAAUGACUUUGGAUUUAGCAGGUUAUAAGCAUAUGGGAAAAGCUGAGACCAUUCUGAAAUGUUUCAGAACCAGUAUCUGAAGCCCAAAUUAUUUUUCCAUUAAAAAUGGUGAAAAUUUUCAUAAUAAUUUCAAUGGGAACAUGAUCAUUCUCUAAGUAAUUGCUAUCAGGAAUUUAAUUUAAACCUCAUUUGACUGACAUUUCUUGUUUGCAAGAUAGCUAUUUUAGGAACAAUGUCUUGCUAGUAUAUCUCUCUUCAUCUUAGUCAUGACUGAUAACAGAAUAAUCAUCUCAACUACUUUUCUUUUCCUGCAUAAUGGCUUCACUGCAUUUUCACAUACCAAACACACAAGAAUAGAAACACUUAGACAAAUAACAGUAUUAUAUGCAGAUGAGCAGGUAAGUGAACAGAACUUGCUUGAAACUAUCUUGGCUUGGGUAACAGGCUGAGAACCCUUUGCGGUCACGUGUGGUAUGUUUAAAAGACUAAGGGAAGAUGCAAGGUUGUCUCUGAAGCAUGCCUGUAACUUGCAUUAUUCCAAACUGACGUUACAUCCACGUAUUAAAUACAGAAUUUCUAUGUACCGUAACUCCUCCCUGCUCAUUCCUUGUCUUUCUGAUUUAACAUGUUGUUCUGCAAGAGUUAACUGUUCGGUCCUGUCAAUGCUAUCUAAUAAAGGACACCAUCAGCAAAGUCAGAACUAUUUAUCCCAGUCACAUUGAGCUUUCCCAGGACGAAUCUGAAGCAGCUAUCACAAUUGUAAUUUAUUUUUAAACAGUAGAUUUCGUACAGGGAAAUGCCACAAAAGGCUUCACCGUUCAUUUCAUUAUCUUGUUUCUUCUACUGCUUUAAUAAAAGACAGCGGUCAUAGGGCAGCUGAAUGCCAAGUUACAAAAGAACAUUACUUGUGACUGUUUCCAGUUCUUUGUAAUAUUUUCUCAUUAGCCAUAAAUCUAUGAGGACAAGAGAUUACAGAGAGUUUUCAACGAGUUGACUUUGACACUGAAAGAGCUGCUUCUCCUUUUAAUGAUGAGCUGUCACAGGCAUCGAUCAGUAGCCAUGGCAGAACAGAUGAAAGCAG